CCUACGGGAGGCAGCAGUAGGGAAUCUUCCACAAUGGGCGAAAGCCUGCUGGAGCAACGCCGCGUGGGUGAAGAAGGUCUUCGGAUCGUAAAACCCUGUUGUUAGAGAAGAAAGUGCGUGAGAGUAACUGUUCACGUUUCGACGGUAUCUAACCAGAAAGCCACGGCUAACUACGUGCCAGCAGCCGCGGUAAUACGUAGGUGGCAAGCGUUAUCCGGAUUUAUUGGGCGUAAAGGGAACGCAGGCGGUCUGUUAAGUCUGAUGUGAAAGCCUUCGGCUUAACCGGAGUAGUGCAUUGGAAGCUGGGAGACUUGAGUGCAGAAGAGGAGAGUGGAACUCCAUGUGUAGCGGUGAAAUGCGUAGAUAUAUGGAAGAACACCAGUGGCGAAAGCGGCUCCCUGGUCUGUAACUGACGCUGAGGUUCGAAAGCGUGGGUAGCAAACAGGAUUAGAUACCCCGGUAGUC
rnacentral:rRNA from 1 species